UCUAAAAGGGAAAUGUCCCUGGGUGGGCUAAUUUUUUACCUUGGAUAACCCAAAAUUCAUAAAUAAACAUAGCAUUGUACUGAUUUUUAUUAGUUUAUCAUAUAAAAUGAUGUACAUCGUGCCAAGGCUUAACUACAUUCACUGACAAAACAUAGACAAUUAAAAGCAAGGAUGACUUUCAAUGUACCAAGCAAUGUUUUGACCAAACUGUAUUUACAUUCUCAAAACCCAACUGAAAGCUUAUGUACUUCCUCAGAUUCCAAGGACCUGUCAACACAAUUUGCUUGCUUUUCCCUCAACAUUCCAUGCAGUUUUGGGUGUUGUUGACUGGAUUCAUGCUGUCAAGGACAAACUGUAUUUACGCUAGGAUUUCUAAUGUUUACCAUUGACCAAAGGUAAAUAUGAACUUCAACAGCCACUAAGGCUGCACUUGGCAUUAACAUGCGAUCACCGUGAUCCAAUCAAGCAGAUCAGAUCAUCAGUCAAUCAGAACACAGUGCAUUUACAUUUGGCAACAUCAACUGACUUUUCUAUCCGGAUAACAGAUCAGAUCUGUCUUUCCAGUGCAAUAUUUAAAUAAGACUGCAAAGAAUGGCCCAGUGCAAAGUCAACCUGAAGUGUUCGCGAGAGAGGAGGCGGCGUUUUGCGUGAUGUCGACCUGCGAAUGCAGACACGAUGGCGGGAUUGCAUUUACAUUACACUGAGAUCCUAUCACAAUGAGUCGUCGACUACCUCUGGACAAGGACACGCUGAUCGAAUAACAUUCCGAUCAGAAGUGCAUUUACACUCGUCUUUUCAAUGUGUAUGUGGACAACAUCUGGUUACAGGUCUCAUGUUAAUGGCAAGUUUAAACGAAACCUAAUGCUUGACAAAUAACUGGAUGUGACAUCAUUACCCAAUACACUUGACUUGAAUGAA